rnacentral:rRNA from 1 species
ACGCUGGCGGCGUGCUUAACACAUGCAAGUCGAACGAGAGCGUAGAGAAAGCUUGCUUUUUCUACAAUCUAGUGGCAAACGGGUGAGUAACGCGUAAACAACCUGCCCUACGGAUGGGGACAACAGCUGGAAACGGCUGCUAAUACCGAAUACGUUCCGAAAGUCGCAUGACUGUCGGAAGAAAGGAUGGCCUCUAUUUAUAAGCUAUCGCCGGAGGAGGGGUUUGCGUCUGAUUAGCUAGUUGGAGGGGUAACGGCCCACCAAGGCGACGAUCAGUAGCCGGUCUGAGAGGAUGAACGGCCACAUUGGAACUGAGACACGGUCCAGACUCCUACGGGAGGCAGCAGUGGGGAAUCUUCCGCAAUGGGCGAAAGCCUGACGGAGCAACGCCGCGUGAGUGAAGACGGCCUUCGGGUUGUAAAGCUCUGUUAUACGGGACGUAUAAUCUUGUGGUUAAUACCCAUGAGAAGUGACGGUACCGUAAGAGAAAGCCACGGCUAACUACGUGCCAGCAGCCGCGGUAAUACGUAGGUGGCAAGCGUUGUCCGGAAUUAUUGGGCGUAAAGGGCGCGCAGGCGGCUUCUUAAGUCUGUCUUAAAAGUGCGGGGCUUAACCCCGUGAUGGGAUGGAAACUGGGAAGCUCAGAGUAUCGGAGAGGAAAGCGGAAUUCCUAGUGUAGCGGUGAAAUGCGUAGAUAUUAGGAGGAACACCAGUGGCGAAAGCGGCUUUUCUGGACGAAAACUGACGCUGAGGCGCGAAAGCCAGGGGAGCGAACGGGAUUAGAUACCCCGGUAGUCCUGGCCGUAAACGAUGGGUACUAGGUGUAGGAGGUAUCGACCCCUUCUGUGCCGGAGUUAACGCAAUAAGUACCCCGCCUGGGGAGUACGGCCGCAAGGUUGAAACUCAAAG